rnacentral:lncRNA from 1 species
AUUGCUUUCAUCAGGCAGAGUGUAUAGCUGAGGCUGAAAAAGCUAAAACCAAGUAUAUAUUAGUCUACACAGAGGCACGUCAGGAUGGAGCCAUAUGAGUGGAGCCAUGUCCCGCAGGCAAAACUUAUGGAAUUAAAGCAAUAUGAUGAGGUGAAAAAUGUCGAUCGAAGACUUGCUGCAGUUGAGUUGCAGAGUGGCUUAGUAGACCAGAUUUUGGAAAGGAGAAGAAUAGAGGCUGAGCAGAGAACAGAUCGUUUAAAAAGUAUGCAGGCAUACCCCUGCUUUGGAGGAAACACUACAAUAAGUGCUAAACAACGGGAACAAACGCGCACCGUGGUUUUGAGGGACCUCCAAAUACAGAGGGAAAUGCGCCAAAAGCAGCAGGAAAUGGAAAAGGCUGAGGAAAGGAGGUACCAACAGAUGAACGAAGAAAUUCGUCAGAAACAUUUGCAGUCAGGCUUGAGGGCUCAGGAGGCCAAAAGGGCUGAAGCCGUGAGGACUAAGCAACAAAACAUUCUUCUUACCAGGGAGAAAGAAAUGGCCAGAAAGGCAGCAGCAGAGCAAGCAAAACAGGAAGACCUUCGAAACAAAGAUUUUUUCAAAAAGAAAGAAGCUCAAAAUGCAAAAUUUGCCGCUAAAAAAGAACAACUCCGGCAGCUACGGCAGAUAGGUAUUGAUAUAGUGUCAGAGCAACUUGAAAAAAUACAAAAGAGCAAGGUUGAUGAUGAAGACGAGCGAGUUCAACGUGUUCAACAAAUCAAAGAUCAGGAAUGGAAAAGACAGCAACAAGAGUUGGCUGAGAAAAGAGCAAUGGAGAAGAAAAUGUUGAAAAGAAACAUGGAAGAGCAGUUGGAAAUUCAGGCUAACAGAAGGGCCGCAGAAUAUGCUCGUCAGCAAGAUGAGAUUAUAAGGGUUAAGAAAGAACGUCAGGCUUUUAUGGCCAAACAGAAAAAGGAAAAUGAGAAGCGUCGACAGGAUGUGUGUACUCAGAAUACGCUCCUGAAACAGCAGAUAGAACAACGAAGGUUUUUGGAAAAACAAAUGCUUGACAAAUCAUUAAAUGAAAAAAUGCAACAUCUCGAUGAUGAAAAAUGGAAAAACAAUUGGAUCAAACAAUACGUUGCGGAAACAAAUAAAAAAAUUGCACAAGUUUGCAAUCAAAAUAACCUGUUAAAUUAUCGGUCUAGCGUCCGCAAUCCCUCUAGGCAGUCUUAUGUGCAGCGAUUUAGCCCAUAAGCAAAGGGAUCGAGCAAGAAAGGGAGUCUGGAGUUGAUUUGCUAGCCUCUAGGUUAGCCUUUAUUAGCCUUCAUCAUGAUGUGGGUUAGUGCGAAAUUUUUUUCGAGAUUGGGAUGAUGGUGGCAGACUUGACGGUUGAAAAGUCUGACAGGACACAAGCAGCUGAUCUGCACAUUCCCUGAUCACUCUACCUUCGGCCUCGUGCCUACGACCAAAUCACACCAGUGCUGAUAUUUCAGCACAACAGCACUCCCUCUCGUGUGAUAUUGCUUAAGUGUUGCUAAUUUAGUUUAGUGUAGUUUUAAGUAGGGCUGUCACUUUAACACAUUAAAUGUGAUUAAUUAAUCACAGGAAAAAAGAACACAC